AUGGUCUUAUGGGUUUGGAACGACUUGAGGACAGGAAGAGCUGUCGAGAAAGCCAUCGGCUGGAACUGCAGUGGAUCUUUUACAGCAGUGAAACAAGACGUUGGGAGGCCAAUUUUAAGUUCACAAAAACAACUAGGGUGCACUGUGUCAGUGAAGACAACGUGGCAAAAAGAAACAGGGGGUGGGGGAAAACCCCCCAAAAGCACACUCUCUUUUUCUUUUUCAAACACGGCCAAGUGUCUCAGCUCCCCUCACUGCAGGAUUGGUAAACACUGCUUGGACAAUCAUCACCAGACAUUUGACACUGAUCAAACUUUGCGUCUGUGAUUGCAAUGAUGUCAGGUACUUUUCGGCAUGUUCAGCAGGUGUAAACAGAAAGAGGAAGCAACACCCUCCCAUCCCUGUUUGGAAAACAAAUUGCCUUCUUUCCAGGGAUUCUAGCAGAGUUUUGGAGCACUGAGCAUUGAUCAGAGCGCAUAAAGAUGUGUAAUGAGUUCCAUGCUUGUGAAAUCAUAAACAGGAUGGAGGCAGCCUGAAGCAGGAACGCUCUCAGCCACUGAACACCGUCUUUUAAAGCUCCGCCAUUCCCCAGAUGGACUGCAUGCACGCCACACUAACUCUCUGCUUCGCUAGCCAGAGGUGUUUGUUGUUCAGUCUCUCUACAUCCCCAUCCUUCCACUCUCCACACGCACACACCAUUCUCUUUUAACAUGUUGGAGCCAGAUAAGCAUGUUAGAUCUUCAUCUCUGGCCUCAACCGAGCAUUGUAAAAUUUAAAUAAUAAUAAAUAAAUAACAUUUCUGAGAAGGUUGAGGCAUCAUGAGAGGUUCUCAGCUGAAGUCUUUCUUCAUAAUUGUCCUUGGCAUUUAGCCAUUCUGAACAUUCUCAUUUGCUAAAUACAAUGUUACAGCAUAAAUGGCAAUACAUUCAAUUUUGAUAGAAUUAUGGUUGAUAUAUCAAAGUAUGGUGUAGCCAUGGCUUUUCAUUUAAUUUCAGAGGGAAAAAUGACCUUAUUUUAAUUUUAGAUAAAAUUUGUUUGCAGCAUCUUUGGUAAGUUAAACAAUUGUUUUUGUUUACUGAUUUAUUCUAACAUAGAAAUUGGUGAAAACUAAUUAGUGAAAAAGUGUUGCUAUGUGACAACACUGUACUACAAUGGAAAACUGUGUAUCACUGGGGGAAGUCAUGGCCUAACGGUUAGAGUGUUGGACUUGCAAUCCAAGGGUUGCAAGUUCGAGUCUCGGGCUAGCAGGAAUUGUAGGUGGGGGGAGUGAAUGUACAGCGCUCUCUCCUCCUUCAAUACCACGACUGAGGUGUCCUUGAGCAAGGCACUGAACCCCCAACUGCUCCCCAGGCGCCGCAGCAUAAAUGGCUGCCCACUGCUCCGGGUGCGUGUUCACAGUAUGUGUGUGUUCACUGCUGUGUGUGUGCACUUUGGAUGGGUUAAAAGCAGAGCAUGAAUUCCGAGUAUGGGUCACCAUACUUGGCUGUAUGUCAUGACACUUUCACUUUCACUGUCACUUUACAAUGAAAUUGCACAAAUUUUUAUUUACUAUAUUUUUUUAAAUUAUUGAAAUUGUUUGUUAGAUUUUUAUUAGUGUUUUAUUAGGGGAAUAAUAUAUAUAUAUAUAUAUAUUU
ensembl:lncRNA